CCAACUUUAGAGUUAUAUAAAAUUGUAUAAAGAUCCCAGAUCAGUGACAGGUUAAAUGUUUAUAAUUAUAUUUGGGUACAAACCUCCUGAUUGGAGUACAUUUCUUACGACUGGUUGGUAAAGAUCUUAAUGCCCAACUGAGUAUGAUAGGUUAACCCAGUAGCUUAAAUAGAAUAGGAGCGCGCGACCCAGUACUUGUGACGUCACUCGCUACCCGAAGUACAUCGUGGUGAACGGUGAAGACUACUUGGAACUCGUAUAUCUCAAUAAAUACAGAGAGUUAAAAGCUAAAAUCGGUCUCAAAAUGGAGCUAAAAAUUAGUAUGAUCGACAGAAAACAAAAAUACAGGUUGUCAAUCAGUAUUAUUCGUGAAAACAUCGAUAAAGCUUGGACUAGAUCGGGAUCAUGAGACGCUUGACGAGACGGCAAACAAUUCCAUAAAAUAAAAGCGUCCCGUGACUUUGUAAGACACAAUACACAAUUUGACAUGUUCAUAGCAUUGCCCUCCCCCCUAAAGGAUUGGUCUCCAAUUAAGCAGGACAAGAAAGAAUAAUUACACCAAAAGACCAGUGUAUUACAAAAGAUGUACAUUAUGUUAGAUGUUGAAAGUAUUUACAUCCAAGAAAUAAUAUGAUAAAUAUAAAAAAAUAAUGACCAUCAACAUUACAAUCUACAAUUAACCAACAUCAGGUACAAAUGAAAUGUGACUGUUAAGCAAUAAAGAGGAAAAAUCCUACACAUCAUUUGAGGAAAAAUUAAGAAGAGCGUGUGGAAGAUGACGUAGAAGAUGAUGAUGACGAAGAUGUUGUUGAUGUUGCAGAAGAUGAUGAUGACGACCUUGAUGAUGAUGAUUAGUGAGAACCUGAUUUGUUUGUGGAAACAUAAGGUAUCAAAUUCGAUCUAUUUCAGGUUUGCCAAAGACUAAAUCAAUUGGAAGUCGAAUUUCAGAGCCAAACAUCAUGGUUGUUGGUGUGACACCAGUUGACUCGUGCACAGACGAACGAUAUGCCAUCAAACAAAAAGAAAGAAAUAUCAACACUGUCACUGAUCCGGUCAACAUAAAGAAAUACACUGCUGUUUAUUGUACAGUUCAAUCAAUAAAUUAACUGAUCAACUUACUGUUCAUUUUCUGUAAUCCAGAAUUCAUGGAUAUCGAUAUUUGGCGCUAUUGUACCUU